rnacentral:rRNA from 1 species
CCCGCUGAACUUAAGCAUAUCAAUAAGCGGAGGAAAAGAAACCAACAGGGAUUGCCUUAGUAACGGCGAGUGAAGCGGCAACAGCUCAAAUUUGAAAUCUGGCUCUUUCAGGGCCCGAGUUGUAAUUUGUAGAAGAUGCUUUGGGUGUGGCUCUGGUCUAAGUUCCUUGGAACAGGACGUCAUAGAGGGUGAGAAUCCCGUACGUGACUGGUUGCCUUCGCCCGUGUAAAGCUCUUUCGACGAGUCGAGUUGUUUGGGAAUGCAGCUCAAAAUGGGUGGUGAACUCCAUCUAAAGCUAAAUAUUGGCGAGAGACCGAUAGCGAACAAGUACCGUGAGGGAAAGAUGAAAAGCACUUUGGAAAGAGAGUGAAACAGUACGUGAAAUUGUUGAAAGGGAAACGCUUGAAGUCAGUCGCGUCGACCGAGACUCAGCCUUGCCUUGGCUUGGUGUACUUCUCGGCCCGACGGGUCAGCAUCAAUUUUGCCCCUCGGAUAAUGGCAAGGGAAAGGUGGCACCUUUACGGGUGUGUUAUAGUCUCCUGUCGCAUGCGAGGGGUGGGAUUGAGGAACUCAGCACGCGCCUCGGUGUCGGGGCUUCGGCCCACGUCCACGUGCUUAGGAUGUUGGCGUAAUGGCUUUAAACGACCCGUCUUGAAACACGG